GGCCUUAUAUUCAAUAAUGAUUUUAGAAUGCAAUUCUUAAGGAGUGGGAUAAUAAUUUCUACUAAGGCUU
rnacentral:tRNA from 1 species